CUCGUGCUCCCGUCUCGACCCCAGGCCCCGGCUCCUCUCCCUGCAUGCCAUGUCAGGUCGGAAACCGGCCCAUGGCGGCGCCGCAGCCGCAGGCCCUGCCUCCGGGAGGCAGGCGGUCUUGAGCAGAUUCUUCCACUCCACGGGCAUCCUGAAAUCCAGCGCCUCCCCCACAGGUGCAGCUGAGGAGGCGCACCCCGCCUCUGACUCCACAGCGCCCCCUGCGUCCACUUUCCCGUCUCAGAUGCCGCCGCGCGCGAUUACAGAAAUUGAUAGAAGUAAAAAGAGACCACUGGACAGUGAUGGACCUGUUAAAAAGAAAGCAAAAAAAGUCCAAGAAAAGGAAAGAGGAAUUGAUUUGCUGAUGUCUGGGAAAACCGAAUCAAAGAAAUGUCUGAGGAGCAGGAGUGUUUUAAAGUCUCUGGAGAAACUGAAAGAAUUCUGCUGUGAUUCUGCCCUUCCUCAAAAUCGAGUUCAGACAGAACCUCUUCAAGAGAGAUUUCCAGUUCUGCCGAAAUGCACAGAUUUUGAUGAUAUCAGUCUCUUACGUGCAAAGAAUGCAGUUUCUUCUAAAGAUACCAAGUCUCAAGUCAGUCAGAAGGACAAGGCACUUUUGGAUCUUAAUCAUUUUGAAUCAUCACAUAGGAGUUAUGAAAAUUUACAGAAAACUGAUUCUAAACCAUCUAACAGACGAACCAAAUGCAUCUACACACCAUUAGAGUUACAAUACAUAGAAAUGAAGCAGCAGCAAAAAGAUGCAAUUUUAUGUGUGGAAUGUGGAUAUAAGUAUAGAUUCUUUGGUGAAGAUGCAGAGAUUGCAGCUCGGGAGCUCAAUAUUUAUUGCCAUUUAGAUCACAACUUUAUGACAGCAAGCAUACCUACUCACAGAUUGUUUGUUCAUGUACGACGCCUUGUGUCAAAAGGAUAUAAGGUGGGAGUUGUGAAGCAAACUGAAACAGCAGCAUUAAAGGCCAUCGGGGACAAUAAAAGUUCACUCUUUACCCGAAAGUUGACUGCUCUUUAUACAAAAUCUACACUUAUUGGAGAAGAUGUGAAUCCUCUAAUCAAGCUCGAUGAUAGUGUAAAUGUUGAUGAGAUAAUGACUGAUACUUCUAACAGCUAUCUUCUCUGUAUCUGUGAAAAUAAGGAACGCAUUAAGGACAAAAAAAAGGGGGACAUUUUCAUUGGAAUUGUGGGAGUGCAGCCUGCCACAGGUGAGGUUGUGUUUGAUAGUUUCCAGGACUCUGUUUCCCGUUCAGAGCUGGAAACUCGGAUAUUGUGCCUGCAGCCAGUGGAGUUGUUGCUUCCAUCACACUUGUCAGAGCAAACAGAGAUGCUCAUCCACAGAACCACGGCUGUUAGUGUGCGGGAUGACAGAAUUCGAGUAGAAAGAAUGGAUAACACACAUUUUGAAUACAGUCAUGCAUUCCAAGUGGUUACAGAGUUUUACGCGAAAGAUGUAGUUGACAUCAAAGCAUCUCAAAGUUUUUCUGGUAUCAUUAACUUGGAGAAACCUGUUAUUUGCUCUUUGGCUGCCUUAAUAAGAUACCUCAAAGAAUUUAACUUGGAAAAGAUGCUUUCCAAACCCAAAAAUUUUAAACAGUUGUCAGGGGAAAUGGAAUUUAUGACAGUUAAUGGAACAACAUUAAAGAAUCUGGAAAUCCUUCAGAAUCAGACUGAUAUGAAAACCAAAGGGAGUUUAUUUUGGGUUUUAGACCACACUAAAACUUCAUUUGGGAGACGGAAGUUAAAGAAGUGGGUGAUCCAACCACUCCUUAAAUUAAGGGAAAUAAAUGCUCGACUUGAUGCUGUAUCUGAAGUUCUCCACUCAGAAACCAGUGUGUUUGUUCAUAUAGAAAAUCAUCUACGUAAAUUGCCUGAUAUAGAAAGAGGACUUUGUAGCAUUUAUCACAAAAAAUGUUCUACCCAAGAGUUCUUCUUGAUUGUCAAAACUCUUUGUCAUGUGAAGUCAGAAUUUCAAGCAUUAGUACCUGCUGUUAAUUCCCAUGUCCAAUCAGAUGUGCUCCAGACAUCGAUUUUAGAAAUUCCUGAAUUUCUCAGUCCAGUGGAGCAUUACUUAAAGAUACUUAAUGAACAGGCUGCCAAAAUUGGUGAUAAAACUGAAUUGUUCAAAGAUCUUUCUGAUUUCCCUUUAAUAAAAAAGAGGAAAGAUGAAAUUAAAGAAGUUACUGACAAAAUCCAAAUACAUUUGCAAGAAAUACGAAAAAUACUAAAAAAUCCUUCUAUCCAGUAUGUGACAGUAUCAGGACAGGAGUUUAUGAUUGAAAUAAAGAAUUCUGCUGUAUCUUAUAUACCAACUGAUUGGGUCAAGGUUGGAAGCACAAAAGCUGUGAGCCGCUUUCACUCGCCUUUUAUUGUAGAAAAUUACAGACAUCUGAAUCAGCUUCGAGAGCAGCUAGUCCUUGACUGCAAUUCUGAAUGGCUUGAUUUUCUGGAGAAUUUUGGUGAACAUUAUUAUUCCCUGUGUAAAGCAGUACAUCACCUGGCAACUCUUGACUGCAUUUUCUCCCUGGCCAAGGUCGCUAAGCAAGGAAGUUACAGCAGGCCAACUGUACAGGAAGAAAGAAAAAUCAUAAUAAAAAAUGGCCGGCACCCUGUGAUUGACGUGUUGCUGGGAGAACAGGAUCAGUAUGUUCCCAACAGUACAAAUUUAUCAGGAGACUCAAAAAGAGUAAUGAUAAUUACUGGACCAAACAUGGGUGGAAAGAGCUCCUAUAUAAAACAAGUUGCAUUGAUUACUAUCAUGGCUCAGAUUGGCUCCUAUGUUCCUGCAGAGGAAGCAACAAUUGGAAUUGUGGAUGGCAUUUUCACAAGGAUGGGUGCUGCAGAUAACAUAUAUAAAGGGCAGAGUACCUUUAUGGAAGAACUGACUGACACAGCAGAAAUAAUAAGAAAGGCAACGUCACAGUCCUUGGUUAUCUUGGAUGAACUGGGAAGAGGGACAAGUACCCAUGAUGGAAUUGCCAUUGCUUAUGCGACACUUGAGCAUUUUAUUCGUGAUGUGAAAUCCUUAACUCUGUUUGUCACCCAUUAUCCUCCAGUUUGUGAAUUAGAGAAAAGUUAUUCACAGCAGGUAGGGAAUUACCACAUGGGAUUCUUGGUCAAUGAGGAUGAAAGCAAACAUAAUCCAGACAGAGAAGAAGUCCCCGAUUUUGUUACUUUUCUCUAUCAAAUAACCAGAGGAAUUGCAGCAAGGAGCUAUGGAUUAAAUGUGGCUAAAUUAGCAGAUGUUCCUGGAGAAGUUUUAAAGAAAGCCGCUAGCAAGUCAAAAGAGCUGGAAGCAGUAGUAAAUAUGAAAAGGAACAGACGAAAGUGUUUUGCAGAGUUAUGGAUGAUAAAUGAUGCAAAAGACCUGCAGAAGUGGACAGAAGAGUUUCAAAUGGAAGAAAUUACAGACUUCUCUUCCUAAAAUGAAGACAACAUUUUUGAACAAAAAAAUGAAGAAUUUAAAUCACUAACUGUAUAAAACAACUCUCUAAUAACCACCUAUUAUUGUGUGUCCUGAACAUAAAAUCAUGCUGUGGUUUAAUUACAGUUGGAACCAGGACUUUCUGUAGAAAGUUUGUUUCAGGUUCCUGAUAUCCAGACUUUUAAAAGUAUAAACACUUUUGAAUAUUAAGACUUCUGUUAUAUAAUUAGAAAAUUUCAUGGAUGGUUUUAAAGGUAAUGCUGUAACCUUACUGGCAGCCCAGCAAGUUGAUGAAUCCAGGAAUCUUAUGCCCAUUCCAGAGAGCACUGCAGGAACCAGCUGUUACUGGUAUCUGUUGGGGAAAGCUAUCAAAAGAAUGUGACCGCCUGCUGACCUGCCAGCUGGACCUGGGCAAUUGGAGGCUUCUUACCCCUCCCCUCUUCUUGGAAUGUGUAUUCCACUUGCCUUCCCUGCUCCCAGUGUUGAGACCAUCUGGUGUGCACGUGAUUAAAUCCAGUUAAAACCUCUUUAUAAACUUUUAAGAUUUGGCAUGCAGGUAUAGGUGCUGCUCUAAACUCUGGGGUUACAGCAGCAAAAAAGAGAAGAAAAACAUUUUGUUGACUGGUUUAUAAGCAGACUGAAGAACAUCUAUGGGAUGGAUUUUCCUGUGGAAAAAGGAGAAGGAAGAAAAUUACUGGAGACAUGAAUAUCCUUGAUAUUCAACAGCAUCAAAUUUCUCUAUAAAAAAAAAUAAAGCCUCUGUUUAUUAGGAGAAAAGAUGACUUCAUUGGGUUUAGAAGGACAGCGUUUUCUACCUUGAACUGACAUUUAGAGCUGUGCUCCUUGCCCUUGGAUGGGGCAUAUACCUCUCAUACUCCAGAGAGUUCUAACUUUCUACGAUCCUGACUGCUGACCUGAGGAUAACAACUCAUUGGACAAAAAGGAGAUUUAUUAGCUCAUGUAACUGGGAAGGAUGAGAGUGCAUCUAGGGAAGCUUUGAUAGAACUUACCCUAUCUUCUGUCCGUCUAUCUUGAAAGCAUCAGCCUCAAGUCUGGCUCUCUUUGUGGUUACAAGAUGACUACUGAGAGUCCAAAGGCUACUUGGUCCAGUGGGGCUCGAAGGAAUGUAGCUAGAACACCAGGUCCAUCUCUGGACAGGAAAGUCAACUCAGAACACAUGUUUUGCUAG